GCGAGGAGGAGGCUACUUGGAUUAAUACUCUAGGAUAGUGGACGUUACUCGCAGAAUAAGCACCGGCUAACUCUGUGCCAGCAGCCGCGGUAAUACAGAGGGUGCGAGCGUUAAUCGGAUUUACUGGGCGUAAAGCGUGCGUAGGCGGCUUCUUAAGUCGGAUGUGAAAUCCCUGAGCUUAACUUAGGAAUUGCAUUCGAUACUGGGAAGCUAGAGUAUGGGAGAGGAUGGUAGAAUUCCAGGUGUAGCGGUGAAAUGCGUAGAGAUCUGGAGGAAUACCGAUGGCGAAGGCAGCCAUCUGGCCUAAUACUGACGCUGAGGUACGAAAGCAUGGGGAGCAAACAGGAUUAGAUACCCUGGUAGUCCAUGCCGUAAACGAUGUCUACUAGCCGUUGGGGCCUUUGAGGCUUUAGUGGCGCAGCUAACGCGAUAAGUAGACCGCC
rnacentral:rRNA from 1 species